rnacentral:rRNA from 1 species
GGUCCCGCCUGCCCAGUGACUAACCACUUACUUAAACGGCCGCGGUAUCCUAACCGUGCAAAGGUAGCGUAAUCACUUGUCCCCUAAAUAGGGACUAGUAUGAAUGGCUAAAUGAGGGCCUAACUGUCUCCUUUGAUUAAUCAGUGAAAUUGAUCUGCCAGUACAAAAGCUGGCAUACACUCAUAAGACGAGAAGACCCUGUGGAGCUUAAAAUACUUAUGCCAAACCACUAAAUAUGCCAUAACAUUUUCAGUUGGGGCGACUACGGAAACAAACCUAACUUCCAAGCCAAUGGGCCUUUCCCCAUCCACCAGACAAACAUGUCGAUACCACACGACCCAGAACUAUUCUGAAUAACGAACCAAGUUACCCCAGGGAUAACAGCGCCAUCUUCUUCAAGAGCCCCCAUCGACAAGAAGGUUUACGACCUCGAUGUUGGAUCAGGACACCCCAAUGGUGCAGCCGCUAUUAAAGGUUCGUUUGUUCAACGAUUAAAGUCCUACGUGAUC